rnacentral:lncRNA from 1 species
AUGGAGCACGGUGCUGCUCCCCAGGGACAGGGCACGGGGCCGUGGGGAGGGAGCAGGGGGGCUGCAGAGCUCGGCAGCUGCCCCCAAAGGGAGAGGAGGCAGCAGGGUGCAGGGCUGCAGCCGGCCAUGAGACGUGCCAGCGCUGCAAACCCCGAGCAGGUUCAUCCGUCAGCACUUGGCGGAGCGCUUAAUGGCUGCGGGGAGCCCCGACCCGCUGAGCAGCCGGGGAAAAAAAACAAAAGGAAAAAGGAAGAGAGAUCUCAGAGUGCAGCCCUCUGCUGUAUGGAGUCAAUUGAGCAGCCCCAAAGCUGUCUGGAGCCUCUGCUGAGUCACAUCGGGGCCACAGCUCCCGGCACAGCCACGGCCGGGCUGGAUCCCAGCAGCAGCCCGCGAAGCUCACGCUGCUCCCACCAGUCCCAUCCACGGGGCUUUUGGAAAAGCUGCCUUGAUGCUGCUUUGAGGGCCUUUGCAGGGAACAUCCCACAAAAACAGGGGGGCUGCAGUGCCGGGGAGGGUCUGCCCUGCUCUGCCCAUGGGAUCGAUGCUCCCCGCUCCCUGGGGUGCCUGCGGGAGGUGAAUGCAUUCCCCCAUUCCCUGCUCCCUGCCGGCUGCCCAGCACCGCCAGCCCCCACCAAGCUGGCAGCCUGCACCGGGCCGUGCUGGCAGCCCCAUGAUCACGCACGGGGCAGCGAUCCCAAACACUUACUCAGCAGCAGGGCGCAUCCCUCCCCCUUCCUGCUGCUCUCCAUCACCGCCCAGAUCGCAGCCGCCCCCUGGUCCUGCUCCUUCCCCAAAAAAACGCAGCUCAGGGGCCAGGGCACCUCGUCCCGCCCGGCUCCUACAGCCAAAGGAAUCAUUUGGCAGGCAAAAAACAAAUUGGCCAGGACCCUCCUCGGGUCCUGUGCCCUUUUUUGCGCUGGCACAACCUGCGGCAUGGCAAAGUGCCCUCCAGACCGUGGUCACCCAGUGCCAGGCUCACCAGGGCACUUGUGGGGUCAGGAGCCUCCCCGUGCACCCCGAGCAGACCCCACGGUGCCGCCUCUGCCUGAGCACAUUUCUGAAGGAUUGCAGCGGUGCCUGGUCGAGGAAAUUGGGGCUGAAGAACAGCCAGAAGGCAGGAAAAACAUUCCUGAGAGGACUCAAGCUAACGGGACGGCCGAGGAGCUGCGUGCUGGGAGCUCUGGACACGUCCCACCAGGGAGCCCUGCUCGUUCCCUGGCCCCACAGCAGCUCCAGCUGGGUGCUGCCAACAAACCCGGCUGGGAUCCAGCCAGCUUGAGGCAGGCACAGGGCUCCCAGCCUGACAAAGCAGCUCAAAGGCACCCCUAA